rnacentral:lncRNA from 1 species
AAGUGACAUAAACUGGCAUGUUCUGAAAGAAUCACUCUGGAUGCUGUGUGGAGAAAACACUGAAAAGCACCUGUUGUUUCCUGACUUUUUAAUGAUCGCCAUUCUAACUGGUGUGAGAUGAUAUCUCAUUGUGGUUUUGAUUUGCAUUUCUCUGAUGGCCAGUGAUGAUGAGCAUUUUUUCAUGUGUCUGUUGGCUGCAUAAAUGAAUAGACUAAGAUUUCAGUGAUUGAGUCUCAUGGCAUGUGAUAAAGAGUUAGUGAUAAAGAUUUAAAUGGCACAUAACAUCAUCCCAAUUGAAUGCAUCGGGGGGUCAUGAUGCUGUGUGGGUUUGAAAUGGAAAUUACAAGCGCAAUAUUACAGAAGUGUGGAUUUUAGUUACAAUGUCUCUAUGAGAAAGUCUAAAAGUUAAACAUAAGCAAAACAACAAAAACAUCUAAAUACCAGGAAUUUGUUAUCUCGAUUAUGGAGGGCGACAAGUCCCACAGUCUGCCAUCUGCAGGAUGGAGAACCAGGGGGAGAAUAAUUGACUCCAUUCAAGUGUUCGCUCCUGUUUCAAUCAACUAUGGCUGAAGAGUGAGGAGACAUUUGGAAUAAAUAUGGCUUCUGGGGGCCCAUUCCUAUGGAUCAGCAGCUGGCUUCUGGAGGCCCAUUCCUGUGAAUCGUCGAUCUCAUAGAAGAUAAUAUUGUUAGAAGGCUUACCUCAUUGAUGCUGAACAUCCUAAAAAGCUUCUGCUGCUUUGAGUCACUGAAAAAGACCAAGAAACAUGAAUUUAAAAAAAAAUUUCAAAUGUUAUAAAAUAAAUAAUAUGAACUCAU